rnacentral:sRNA from 1 species
UAAAACAUGAUUUAUUAACUGAUCGCC